GACGAACGCUGGCGGCGUGCCUAAUACAUGCAAGUCGAGCGGAGUUUCAAGAAGCUUGCUUUUUGAAACUUAGCGGCGGACGGGUGAGUAACACGUGGGCAACCUGCCCCUUAGACUGGGAUAACUCCGGGAAACCGGAGCUAAUACCGGAUAAUCCCUUUCUCCACCUGGAGAGAGGGUGAAAGAUGGCUUCGGCUAUCACUAAGGGAUGGGCCCGCGGCGCAUUAGCUAGUUGGUAAGGUAACGGCUUACCAAGGCAACGAUGCGUAGCCGACCUGAGAGGGUGAUCGGCCACACUGGGACUGAGACACGGCCCAGACUCCUACGGGAGGCAGCAGUAGGGAAUCUUCCGCAAUGGACGAAAGUCUGACGGAGCAACGCCGCGUGAGUGAGGAAGGCCUUCGGGUCGUAAAGCUCUGUUGUGAGGGAAGAAGCGGUACCGUUCGAAUAGGGCGGUACCUUGACGGUACCUCACCAGAAAGCCACGGCUAACUACGUGCCAGCAGCCGCAGUAACAC
rnacentral:rRNA from 1 species